rnacentral:rRNA from 1 species
GAUGAACGCUGACAGAAUGCUUAACACAUGCAAGUCAACUUGAACUUCGGUUUGGGUGGCGGACGGGUGAGUAACGCGUAAAGAACUUGCCUCACAGAUAGGGACAACAUUUGGAAACGAAUGCUAAUACCUGAUAUUAUGAUUAUAUGGUAUCGUAUAAUUAUGAAAGCUAUAUGCGCUGUGAGAGAGCUUUGCGUCCCAUUAGCUAGUUGGAGAGGUAACGGCUCACCAAGGCGAUGAUGGGUAGCCGGCCUGAGAGGGUGAUCGGCCACAAGGGGACUGAGACACGGCCCUUACUCCUACGGGAGGCAGCAGUGGGGAAUAUUGGACAAUGGACCAAGAGUCUGAUCCAGCAAUUCUGUGUGCACGAUGAAGUUUUUCGGAAUGUAAAGUGCUUUCAGUUGGGAAGAAAAAAAUGACGGUACCAACAGAAGAAGUGACGGCUAAAUACGUG